rnacentral:rRNA from 1 species
UACGUAGGGGGCAAGCGUUGUCCGGAAUUAUUGGGCGUAAAGAGCUCGUAGGCGGCUUGUCGCGUCGGCUGUGAAAACUCGGGGCUCAACCCCGAGCCUGCAGUCGAUACGGGCGGACUUGAGUACUGCAGGGGAGACUGGAAUUCCUGGUGUAGCGGUGAAAUGCGCAGAUAUCAGGAGGAACACCGGUGGCGAAGGCGGGUCUCUGGGCAGUAACUGACGCUGAGGCGCGAAAGCGUGGGGAGCAAACAGG